rnacentral:rRNA from 1 species
UACGAAGGGGGCUAGCGUUGCUCGGAAUUACUGGGCGUAAAGGGAGCGUAGGCGGAUAGUUUAGUCAGAGGUGAAAGCCCAGGGCUCAACCUUGGAAUUGCCUUUGAUACUGGCUAUCUUGAGUACGGAAGAGGUAUGUGGAACUCCGAGUGUAGAGGUGAAAUUCGUAGAUAUUCGGAAGAACACCGGUGGCGAAGGCGACAUACUGGUCCGUUACUGACGCUGAGGCUCGAAAGCGUGGGGAGCAAACAGG